rnacentral:rRNA from 1 species
AUUGAACGCUGGCGGCAUGCCUUACACAUGCAAGUCGAACGGCAGCGGGGGAGAAGCUUGCUUUUCCUGCCGGCGAGUGGCGAACGGGUGAGUAAUACAUCGGAACGUGCCCUGUAGUGGGGGAUAACUAGUCGAAAGAUUAGCUAAUACCGCAUACGACCUGAGGGUGAAAGUGGGGGACCGCAAGGCCUCAUGCUAUAGGAGCGGCCGAUGUCUGAUUAGCUAGUUGGUGGGGUAAAGGCCUACCAAGGCGACGAUCAGUAGCUGGUCUGAGAGGACGAGCAGCCGCACUGGGACGGAGACACGGCCCAGACUCCUACGGGAGGCAGCAGUGGGGAAUUUUGGACAAUGGGCGAAAGCCUGAUCCAGCAAUGCCGCGUGUGUGAGGAAGGCCUUCGGGUUGUAAAGCACUUUUGUCCGGAAAGAAAUGGCUCUGGUUAAUACCUGGGGUCGAUGACGGUACCGGAAGAAUAAGGACCGGCUAACUACGUGCCAGCCGCCGCCGUAA